CAGUCGGCAUGUCUCUGAUUUCUUCGCUGCGCCCCCAAGCAGCGCUCAUCUUCUCGAUGAGGGCUUUCCUACCGUUGCCCUAACCUUCUGCAAUCUGCGUAGCUACCCAAGAGAUCAAUGGCCGGGGACAGAAAGAGACCGUACCGCGAUUUCCACCGUGCUCGUUCCCGUUCCCCACCGCCACCAUCAAGUUCGCCCUUCGACAAGAAGCGCCGUAUCGCUCUAAAUUCAAGGUCAAGAUCAAAAUCCCCCACAUGCCCCCGUCCUCAUCGUCAAGCCGACCGUGUCACCUCUAAACAAAAACUGGGCAAGCCGCAAACUUUCAACUCAUACCUCGACAUCCCCGAUUUGCCUCCCAAGAUCAGGGCUUUGUGCGAAAUCAUCGCCAAAACCCCCUCCCUCACCGUCGAGAAGGUCCUCGAAGAUUCCGGCAUUGGGGUCCGGCAAGAAGAUGUCGAGGAGGUGCUCAAGUUGUCCUACGGCUUCCCGGGCUCCGCCGUCAAGUUCUUCAGGUGGUCCGGGCACCAGCUCAAGGACGACCACAGCCCGUACGCUUGGAAUUUGGUGGUCGACAUGUUGGGUAAGCACUCUCUGUUUGAUGCAAUGUGGGAUGCUGUGAAGUCGAUGCGUAAAAAGGAGCUGCUUUCGCUUGCCACUUUCGCUUCCGUUUUUAGUAGCUACGUGCUUGCUGGUAGCUUGCAAGAAGCUAUUAUGACUUUUGAAGUGAUGGGCCAAUACGGCUUGCCGCCUGAUGUUGUAGCGUUGAAUUCGCUGAUUAGUGCGAUUUGUAGGGACGGUAAGACUGUGGAUGCAGUGGACUUCUUAGUAAACGUGAAGGACAGGAUUCGGCCGGACCCCGAUACAUAUGCGAUAUUGUUGGAGGGUUGGGAGAAUGAACAGAAUGUGACUGGUGCUAGGCGAACUUUCGCCGAGAUGGUGAGAGAAAUCGGUUGGGAUCCCGCCAACGUGCCUGCCUAUGGCUCAUUUUUAUGUACUUUGCUGAAGGGUCCUAGUGGGAUAUGUGAAGCAUUGAAAUAUUUCCGGACGAUGAGUGAUCACCGGUGUUAUCCAGGUAUGAAGUUCUUUCGGAACGCAUUGGAGGAGUUUAUAAAGCAUGCUGAUCCCAAAGGAGCCAACUUUAUAUGGGAAGCUAUGGUGGGAAGACUUGGGUGUAGACCAGAUACAGAAAUGUAUAAUUCAAUGAUAGCUUUACAUUGUUACACCGACCACAUAGAUGUGGCUGAGAGGCUGUUGGAUGAAAUGGUCUACAAUGGAGCAUUUCCGGACGAUAGAACUUACAAUAUUUUGCUUCAGUUCUUGAUCCAAAGUAGGAAACUAAAGGAAGCCUCCAUUGUGUUUACGGAGAUGGUGAAAAAUGAAUGCGUGCCAAGCGUGGCCAAUUGUAAGGCAGCUGCCAGGAUUUUUAUAGAUACAGGAGACCAUCACUCAGCUAUGAAAGUUUGGAGGUGGAUGGUUGAAUACUACAGGUCCGAUUUGGAUGAGACUGGAAAUACUUUGAUUGUGGGGCUUCUUGAUCUUGACAGGCUCCCUGAAGCAGUCAAAUAUGCCGAGGAUGUCAUUGAAAGAGGAAUUAGAUUGUCCUCUUCCACACUGUUGAAAUUGAAACAUAGCCUUUCCAAGGCCAGAAAGUUACAUGCGUAUGAUGAACUUUUGAGGAUGAGGAGAAGUCCUCGUGGAGGUUAAAAAUUCGUUCAUGUCUUCGUGUUUAGAGGUGACAAUUUCAGUUUUGGCCCUAUUUUGAAUCUAGUCAACUGUAUAUUCUGUGCCUCCAAUUCUUCCGUCCUUAAUUCACACUUCACCAUCUUGGUUGCAUUAACCAUCCUCCUUGGUUGUAUGGACAAUGUUAAUCUGGAUAUCUGUGUUAACCAAAAAUCCUGCUUUUUGAGUAAUAGACUGUUUCGAUGUCCCAUUUCUCCUCAUUUGGAGAAGAGACUUUUCUCACUAAAGCUAGUUGGGAUGCUGAAUGUUCUGGCAGUUUUGGGCAAUGAAUGGAUAUUGGUGUUUGCAAUGGUGCUUAUUUCUUGGCGAGUAGAUUCAGCAGCCUCUUUCCUCUAUCUAUGAAUGUUGCGUGGCAACCAUCUUGUAUUCUUGAAGCUCAACACGACCCUUGUUUGUCGGAAGAUUGUACUUCUUCUUGGCUGUAAUGUACUCUUCAUUUUGUAUAGAGUAAGAGGUCGAUUCAUGUUUCGGGAGGCUGCAUGUUUUGUUGAUUGUUGGAUAUAUCAUGAUUUGACUAUUAUUAAGAAGCAACUAGUUGCCAAGAA